rnacentral:rRNA from 1 species
AGCUCUAAUAGCGUAUAUUAAUGUUGUUGCAGUUAAAAAGCUCGUAGUUGGAUUUUGGUGUUCGACAAAUGGUCUGCUUCGGUUUGUACUGUUUGUUGGCGCUUCUUUUCUGGGGAACUCACUGCUCUUAACUGAGGGGUGUUGUAACGCAGAUCGUUUACUUUGAAAAAAUUAGAGUGUUCAAAGCAGGCCAACGCAUUUUGAAUACAUUAGCAUGGAAUAAUGGAAUAGGACUUUGGUCUUAUUUUGUUGGUUUCUAAGGCCGAGGUAAUGAUUAAUAGGGAUAGUUGGGGGCGUUUAUAUUCCGUUGUCAGAGGUGAAAUUCUUGGAUUUACGGAAGAUAAACUACUGCGAAAGCAUUCGCCAAGGAUGUUUUCAUUA